rnacentral:rRNA from 1 species
UACGUAGGGGGCUAGCGUUGUCCGGAAUCAUUGGGCGUAAAGAGCGUGUAGGCGGCUCGGUAAGUCCGCUGUGAAAGUCCAGGGCUCAACCCUGGAAUGCCAGUGGAAACUGUCGAGCUAGAGUCCGGAAGAGGCGAGUGGAAUUCCUGGUGUAGCGGUGAAAUGCGCAGAUAUCAGGAGGAACACCAAUGGCGAAGCAGCUCGC